UACGGAGGGUGCAAGCGGUGUUCGGAUUUACUGGGCGUAAAGGGCGCGUAGGCGGCUUGGUAAGUCGGGUGUGAAAUCCUUCCGCUUAACGGAAGAAGUGCACCCGAAAGUGCCUUGCUCGAGUUUAGGAGAGGAGAGCGGAAUUCCCGGUGUAGAGGUGAAAUUCGUAGAUAUCGGGAGGAACACCCGUGGCGAAAGCGGCUCUCUGGCCUAAUACUGACGCUGAGGCGCGAAAGUGUGGGGAGCAAACAGG
rnacentral:rRNA from 1 species